rnacentral:misc_RNA from 1 species
GAAUGAAGAACGUAGCGAAAUGCGAUAAGUAAUGUGAAUUGCAGAAUUCAGUGAAUCAUCGAAUCUUUGAACGCACAUUGCGCCCGCCAGUAUUCUGGCGGGCAUGCCUGUUCGAGCGUCAUUUCAACCAUCAAGCCCCAGGCUUGUGUUGGGGACCUGCGGCUGCCGCAGGCCCUGAAAACCAGUGGCGGGCUCGCUGUCACACCGGGCGUAGUAGAUUUUAUCUCGCUCAGGGCGUGCUGCGGGUCCCGGCCGUUAAAAGCCUUUUUUUACCCAAGGUUGACCUCGGAUCAGGUAGGAAGACCCGCUGAACUUAAGCAUAUCAAUAAGCGGAGGA